rnacentral:rRNA from 1 species
AAGCCAUGCAUGUCUCAGUACAAGCCGAAUUAAGGUGAAACCGCGAAAGGCUCAUUAAAUCAGUUAUGGUUCCUUAGAUCGUACCCACAAUUACUCGGAUAACUGUGGUAAUUCUAGAGCUAAUACGUGCAAACAGAGCUCCGACCGGAGACGGAAGGAGUGCUUUUAUUAGAUCAAAACCAAUCGGUGGCGGUCUCGUCAUCGUACAACUUGGUGACUCUGAAUAACUUUACGCUGAUCGCACGGUCACCGCACCGGCGACGCAUCUUUCAAAUGUCUGCCUUAUCAACUGUCGAUGGUAGGUUCUGCGCCUACCAUGGUCGUAACGGGUAACGGGGAAUCAGGGUUCGAUUCCGGAGAGGGAGCCUGAGAAACGGCUACCACAUCCAAGGAAGGCAGCAGGCGCGCAAAUUACCCACUCCCGGCACGGGGAGGUAGUGACGAAAAAUAACGAUACGGGACUCAUCCGAGGCCCCGUAAUCGGAAUGAGUACACUCUAAACCCUUUAACGAGGAUCAAUUGGAGGGCAAGUCUGGUGCCAGCAGCCGCGG